rnacentral:tRNA from 1 species
GGGGGUAUCGCAUAGCGGCAAUUGCGGCGGACUGUAAAUCCGCUCCUUCGGGUCCAGUGGUUCGAGUCCACUUACCCCCA